rnacentral:rRNA from 1 species
GACGAACGCUGGCGGCGUGCCUAAUACAUGCAAGUCGAGCGGAUUUGAUGGAGAGCUUGCUCUCCUGAGAGUUAGCGGCGGACGGGUGAGUAACACGUAGGCAACCUGCCCAUAAGACUGGGAUAACUACCGGAAACGGUAGCUAAUACCGGAUAGGUUCUUCCCUCGCAUGAGAGAAGAAAGAAAGACGGAGCAAUCUGUCACUUAUGGAUGGGCCUGCGGCGCAUUAGCUAGUUGGUGGGGUAAAGGCCUACCAAGGCGACGAUGCGUAGCCGACCUGAGAGGGUGAUCGGCCACACUGGGACUGAGACACGGCCCAGACUCCUACGGGAGGCAG